rnacentral:rRNA from 1 species
UACGCAGGGGGCUAGCGUUGCUCGGAAUUACUGGGCGUAAAGCGCACGUAGGCGGCUCGUUAAGUCGGAUGUGAAAGCCCUCGGCUCAACCGAGGAAGUGCAUACGAAACUGGCGAGCUUGAAUAUGGAAGAGGGUCGCGGAAUUCCCGGUGUAGAGGUGAAAUUCGUAGAUAUCGGGAGGAACACCAGUGGCGAAGGCGGCGACCUGGGCCAAUACUGACGCUGAGGUGCGAAAGCGUGGGGAGCAAACAGG